UACAGAGGGUGCGAGCGUUGUUCGGAAUUACUGGGCGUAAAGCGCGCGCAGGCGGCCUUUUAAGUCUGACGGUGAAAUGCCGGGGCUCAACCCCGUGCCCGCCGGAGAUACUGGGAGGCUGGAGACGAGUAGAGGCAAGCGGAAUUCCGGGUGUAGCGGUGGAAUGCGUAGAGAUCCGGAAGAACACCGGAGGCGAAGGCGGCUUGCUGGGCUCGGUCUGACGCUGAGGCGCGAAAGCGUGGGUAGCAAACGAGG
rnacentral:rRNA from 1 species